UACGGAGGAGGCAAGCGUUAUCCGGAAUUAUUGGGCGUAAAGAGCUCGUAGGCGGUUUGUUGCGUCGGCUGUGAAAUCCCGAGGCUCAACCUCGGGUCUGCAGUCGAUACGAGCAAACUAGAGUGUUGCAGGGGAGACUGGAAUUCCUGGUGUAGCGGUGAAAUGCGCAGAUAUCAGGAGGAACACCGGUGGCGAAGGCGGGUCUCUGGGCAACAACUGACGCUGAGGAGCGAAAGCGUGGGGAGCGAACAGG
rnacentral:rRNA from 1 species